rnacentral:rRNA from 1 species
CCCAGACUCCUACGGGAGGCAGCAGUGGGGAAUAUUGGACAAUGGGGGGAACCCUGAUCCAGCGACGCCGCGUGAGUGAAGAAGUAUUUCGGUAUGUAAAGCUCUAUCAGCAGGGAAGAAAGAAAUGACGGUACCUGACUAAGAAGCCCCGGCUAACUACGUGCCAGCAGCCGCGGUAAUACGUAGGGGGCAAGCGUUAUCCGGAUUUACUGGGUGUAAAGGGAGCGUAGACGGCGAUGCAAGUCUGAAGGUAAAGGGCGGGGCCCAACCCCCGGACUGCUUUGGAAACUGUAUAGCUGGAGUGCAGGAGAGGGAAGUGGAAUUCCUAGUGUAGCGGUGAAAUGCGUAGAUAUUAGGAGGAACACCAGUGGCGAAGGCGGCUUACUGGACUGUAACUGACGUUGAGGCUCGAAAGCGUGGGGAGCGAACAGGAUUAGAUACCCUAGUAAUA